rnacentral:rRNA from 1 species
UAUGUGAUCGUCUCUCGCAUAUCAAUAAGCGGAGGAAAAGAAACUAACAAGGAUUCCCCUAGUAACGGCGAGUGAAGCGGGAAGAGCUCAAAUUUGAAAUCUUAAAGGGUUUCCCUUUACGAAUUGUAGUUUAAAGAAGUGUUUUCUGUUGAGGUUUUGGUAAAAGUUCUUUAGAAUAGGACAUCAUAGAGGGUGAGAAUCCCGUAUUUGACCUUUACUUUCAACUUUGUGAUACACUUUCAAAGAGUCGGAUUGUUUGGGAAUGCAGUCCAAAGUGGGUGGUAAAUUUCAUCUAAAGCUAAAUAUUGGCGAGAGACCGAUAGCGAACAAGUACCGUGAGGGAAAGAUGAAAAGAACUUUGAAAAGAGAGUUAAACAGUACGUGAAAUUGUCAAAAGGGAAGCGUUUGACACCAGUGUUGUUUUUCUGAAAAUCAAUUAAAGAACUGUUUAUGCUAAGUUGUUUAGACUUUAUCAGCUAACUGUUUAGUUUUGAGCUUUUCUUUAAUGCACUUUUCAGUUAACAAGUCAACAUCAAUUUCUUUUGCUGUAAAAAAGCUUGAGGAAGGUGGCUUGAGAUUCGUCUUAAGUGUUUAUAGCCUCUUGCCUAUGCAGUCGGAGAGAUUGAGGUCUGCAGCGUAGAUCCUUCGGGGCUAAAUGCAUUUGUGCUAAGUUAUAGCAUUUUAUAGACAACUUGUUGACUAUGAUUUGUCUUGUAGCUUACUCGCUUAUGUUAUUUUACCUACGCUUAGGAUGUUGAAGUCAUCGUAUCGCGC